AGUAAGUCUUGAACCUUCCCAGCUCCCUGACAGGUUCCUUUGCUCUCAAAGACAGUGCAUCUUGGGCUGUCCAUGCUGCGGACCAUUCUUCCUCUACCCUGCCUUUUAAGACCUAAGGGGACAGGAAGCUGCGGAGCAGGGAGACCACGCACCCCGUCAGCUGAAGGGUCUAGAGUUUGGUCUCAAUUCUGUCCCCACCCAAGCGCAACAAGACCAAGAUCUCACUUCAUCGGGGGAUCAGGCCUGUGUCCGAGAGAGGAGAUGCGAAGGGGCGCAGCGGCCUCCUAAGCCCCGGCCCACCCGGCCCCGGUGGCCGCACUCACCUGGACAGCGCGGACCAGUCCUUCCUGCUGACCGACAUGCUGCCGAGCCGCGCGGCCGCCGCGCGCCGAGCUCCGCACCCCGCCGCUCACCUGCGGCCCCUCCCCCGCGCCAGACUUGAGGUUGGCCCGUAAGUCCAUGGACACCUUGUGCUUGGAGCCCAGUAGAGCUCGGAGCAUGGCGUCGGCUGAGACACGAACCCUGCGCAGGGGUGGACGCUUGAACUUCCCUCGGAGGUCCAGCACCUUGAGCUUCAGGUCCUUAAUCUGCAGGAGGAAAGGAGCCAGGCUCAAUGGAGGGGAUGCUACACCUGGAGCUCUCUUCCUGGGGGAUCCACCUGCUAGGCUUCCAGCUAGAGCCAUCAUCCCCGGGUCCCCAGCCUCCAGGAUGGACUCUCUGAGGCGCUCAGAAGCACCUCUCCUUUUUCAAACAACCAUUACACGUGGUAAAGGAACUUUUAAGCCCACUAGUUAACCUCACCCCCUCCCCAUCAGCAAGCCUCAAAUAAAUGAAAAGCCACUAAACCAUCA